UACAGAGGUCCCGAGCGUUGUUCGGAUUCAUUGGGCGUAAAGGGUGCGUAGGUGGCUUGGUAAGUUUGAUGUGAAAUCUCCGGGCUUAACCCGGAAAUGGCAUUGAAUACUAUUGAGCUGGAGGUUUGGAGGGGGGACUGGAAUUCUCGGUGUAGCAGUGAAAUGCGUAGAUAUCGAGAGGAACACCAGUGGCGAAGGCGAGUCCCUGGACAACACCUGACACUGAGGCACGAAAGCUAGGGGAGCAAACAGG
rnacentral:rRNA from 1 species